UACGUAGGGGGCAAGCGUUGUCCGGAUUUAUUGGGCGUAAAGAGCGUGUAGGCGGCCAUGCAGGUCCGUUGUGAAAACUCGAGGCUCAACCUCGAGACGCCGAUGGAAACCGCAUGGCUAGAGUGCGGGAUGGGAGAGUAGAAUUCCUGGUGUAGCGGUGAAAUGCGUAGAUAUCAGGAGGAACACCGGUGGCGAAGGCGGGUCUCUGGGCCGAUACUGACGCUGAGGAGCGAAAGCGUGGGGAGCGAACAGG
rnacentral:rRNA from 1 species